UACGUAGGGUGCGAGCGUUGUCCGGAAUUAUUGGGCGUAAAGAGCUCGUAGGCGGUUUGUUGCGUCGGCCGUGAAAACUCAGGGCUUAGACUCUGAGCCUGCGGUCGAUACGGGCAGACUUGAGUUCGGUAGGGGAGACUGGAAUUCCUGGUGUAGCGGUGAAAUGCGCAGAUAUCAGGAGGAACACCGGUGGCGAAGGCGGGUCUCUGGGCCGAUACUGACGCUGAGGAGCGAAAGCGUGGGGAGCGAACAGG
rnacentral:rRNA from 1 species